UCCAGACUCCUACGGGAGGCAGCAGUGGGGAAUAUUGCACAAUGGGGGAAACCCUGAUGCAGCGACGCCGCGUGAGUGAGGAAGUAUUUCGGUAUGUAAAGCUCUCUCAGCAGGGAAGAAAAUGACGGUACCUGACUAAGAAGCCCCGGCUAACUACGUGCCAGCAGCCGCGGUAAUACGUAGGGGGCAAGCGUUAUCCGGAUUUACUGGGUGUAAAGGGAGCGUAGACGGACUUGCAAGUCUGAUGUGAAAAUCCGGGGCCCAACCCCGGAACUGCAUUGGAAACUGUAUAUCUAGAGUGUCGGAGAGGCAAGUGGAAUUCCUGGUGUAGCGGUGAAAUGCGUAGAUAUCAGGAGGAACACCGGCGGCGAAGGCGGCCUGCUGGACCGUGACUGACGUUGAGGCUCGAGAGCGUGGGGAGCAAACAGGAUUAGAUACCCCCGUAAG
rnacentral:rRNA from 1 species